AUGUGUGAGAGUAAGCAGGAGGGAGGGAUGGGGUUUCGAGAUAUGGAGGCGUUCAACCAAGCUUUACUUGCCAAGCAAGCUUUGAGAUUGUUACAGGUCCCUUCUUUGCUGUGUGGGCGCGUCCUCAAGGCACGGUACUAUGAUCAUGGCAUGAUCCUUAAUGCAACAUGUCCGGGUGGAGCAUCAUACACCUUUAGAAGCAUUUUGCAUGGU
rnacentral:rRNA from 1 species